AAGUGAAUGGGAACAGAAGUGAAGUGAAUGGGAACCAGAAGUGAAGUGAAUGGGAACAGAAGUGAAGUGAAUGGGAACAGAAGUGAAGUGAAUGGGAACAGAAGUGAAGUGAAUGGGAACAGAAGUGAAGUGAAUGGGAACCGAAAGUGAAGUGAAUGGGAACCAGAAGUGAAGUGAAUGGGAACCAGAAGUGAAGUGAAUGGGAACAGAAGUGAAGUGAAUGGGAACCAAAAGUGAAGUGAAUGGGAACCAGAAGUGAAGUGAAUGGGAACAGAAGUGAAGUGAAUGGGAACCAGAAGUGAAGUGAAUGGGAACAGAAGUGAAGUGAAUGGGAACCAAAAGUGAAGUGAAUGGGAACCAGAAGUGAAGUGAAUGGGAACAGAAGUGAAGUGAAUGGGAACCAGAAGUGAAGUGAAUGGGAACAGAAGUGAAGUGAAUGGGAACAGAAGUGAAGUGAAUGGGAACCGAAAGUGAAGUGAAUGGGAACCGAAAGUGAAGUGAAUGGGAACCAAAAGUGAAGUGAAUGGGAACAGAAGUGAAGUGAAUGGGAACAGAAGUGAAAAGUGAAGUGAAUGGGAACCAAAAGUGAAGUGAAUGGGAACAGAAGUGAAGUGAAUGGGAACAGAAGUGAAGUGAAUGGGAACCAAAAGUGAAGUGAAUGGGAACCAGAAGUGAAGUGAAUGGGAACCAAAAUGAAGUGAAUGGGAACCGAAAGUGAAGUGAAUGGGAACAGAAGUGAAGUGAAUGGGAACAGAAGUGAAGUGAAUGGGAACCGAAAGUGAAGUGAA